rnacentral:rRNA from 1 species
GACGAACGCUGGCGGCGCGCUUAACACAUGCAAGUCGAACGUGAAGCCCGGGCUUGCCCGGGUGGAAAGUGGCGAACGGGUGCGUAACACGUGAGCAACCCGCCCCGAAGACCGGGAUAACACCGGGAAACCGGUGCUAAUACCGGAUGCCCUCAUCAUGUCGCAUGGCGAGAUGAGGAAAUGGAUGCCGCUUCGGGAUGGGCUCGCGGCCUAUCAGCUUGUUGGUGAGGUAACGGCUCACCAAGGCUACGACGGGUAGCUGGUCUGAGAGGAUGUCCAGCCACACUGGGACUGAGACACGGCCCAGACUCCUACGGGAGGCAGCAGUGGGGAAUCUUGCACAAUGGGCGAAAGCCUGAUGCAGCGACGCCGCGUGCGGGAUGACGGCCUUCGGGUUGUAAACCGCUUUCAGCAGGGACGAUUAUGACGGUACCUGCAGAAGAAGCCCCGGCCAACUACGUGCCAGCAGCCGCAGUAAAAC